GGGAAUCUACCUAGUUCUACGGAACAACAGUUGGAAACGACUGCUAAUACCGUAUACGCCCUACGGGGGAAAGAUUUAUCGGAAUUAGAUGAGCCCGUGUAAGAUUAGCUAGUUGGUGGGGUAAUGGCCUACCAAGGCGACGAUCUUUAGCUGGUCUGAGAGGAUGAUCAGCCACACUGGGACUGAGACACGGCCCAGACUCCUACGGGAGGCAGCAGUGGGGAAUAUUGGACAAUGGGCGCAAGCCUGAUCCAGCCAUGCCGCGUGAGUGAUGAAGGCCUUAGGGUUGUAAAGCUCUUUCACCGAUGAAGAUAAUGACGGUAGUCGGAGAAGAAGCCCCGGCUAACUUCGUGCCAGCAGCCGCGGUAAUACGAAGGGGGCUAGCGUUGUUCGGAUUUACUGGGCGUAAAGCGCACGUAGGCGGUUUGUUAAGUCAGGGGUGGAAUCCCGGAGCUCAACUCCGGAACUGCCUUUGAUACUGGCAAGCUAGAGUCCGGAAGAGGUAAGUGGAACUCCUAGU
rnacentral:rRNA from 1 species